UACGUAGGUGGCAAGCGUUGUCCGGAAUUAUUGGGCGUAAAGCGCGCGCAGGCGGCAUGACAAGUAAGGUGUGAAAUCUCCCUGCUCAACGGGGAGGGUGCAUUUUAGACUGUCAAGCUAGAGGACGGUAGAGGGGGGUAGAAUUGCUGGUGUAGCGGUGAAAUGCGUAGAGAUCAGCAGGAAUACCCGUGGCGAAGGCGGCCCCCUGGGCCGAACCUGACGCUGAGGCGCGAAGGCUAGGGGAGCGAACGGG
rnacentral:rRNA from 1 species